rnacentral:rRNA from 1 species
CAGCAGCCGCGGUAAUACGUAGGUGGCAAGCGUUGUCCGGAAUUAUUGGGCGUAAGGCGCGCGCAGGUGGUUUAAUAAGUCUGAUGUGAAAGCCCACGGCUCAACCGUGGAGGGUCAUUGGAAACUGUUAAACUUGAGUGCAGGAGAGAAAAGUGGAAUUCCUAGUGUAGCGGUGAAAUGCGUAGAGAUUAGGAGGAACACCAGUGGCGAAGGCGGCUUUUUGGCCUGUAACUGACACUGAGGCGCGAAAGCGUGGGGAGCAAACAGGAUUAGAUACCCGGGUAGUCCCUGUCUCUUAUAC